rnacentral:rRNA from 1 species
GAUGAACGCUGGCGGCGUGCCUAAUACAUGCAAGUCGAGCGAACGGACGAGAAGCUUGCUUCUCUGAUGUUAGCGGCGGACGGGUGAGUAACACGUGGAUAACCUACCUAUAAGACUGGGAUAACUUCGGGAAACCGGAGCUAAUACCGGAUAAUAUUUUGAACCGCAUGGUUCAAAAGUGAAAGACGGCCUUGCUGUCACUUAUAGAUGGAUCCGCGCUGCAUUAGCUAGUUGGUAAGGUAACGGCUUACCAAGGCAACGAUGCAUAGCCGACCUGAGAGGGUGAUCGGCCACACUGGAACUGAGACACGGUCCAGACUCCUACGGGAGGCAGCAGUAGGGAAUCUUCCGCAAUGGGCGAAAGCCUGACGGAGCAACGCCGCGUGAGUGAUGAAGGUCUUCGGAUCGUAAAACUCUGUUAUUAGGGAAGAACAUAUGUGUAAGUAACUGUGCACAUCUUGACGGUACCUAAUCAGAAAGCCACGGCUAACUACGU